rnacentral:rRNA from 1 species
UACGUAGGGUGCGAGCGUUGUCCGGAAUUACUGGGCGUAAAGAGCUCGUAGGUGGUUUGUCGCGUUGUUCGUGAAAACUCACAGCUCAACUGUGGGCGUGCGGGCGAUACGGGCAGACUGGAGUACUGCAGGGGAGACUGGAAUUCCUGGUGUAGCGGUGGAAUGCGCAGAUAUCAGGAGGAACACCGGUGGCGAAGGCGGAUCUCUGGGCCGAUACUGACGCUGAGGAGCGAAAGCGUGGGGAGCGAACAGG